GGGAUAACACCUGGAAACAGAUGCUAAUACCGUAUAACAGAGAAAACCGCAUGGUUUUCUUUUAAAAGAUGGCUCUGCUAUCACUUCUGGAUGGACCCGCGGCGUAUUAGCUAGUUGGUGAGGUAAAGGCUCACCAAGGCAGUGAUACGUAGCCGACCUGAGAGGGUAAUCGGCCACAUUGGGACUGAGACACGGCCCAGACUCCUACGGGAGGCAGCAGUA
rnacentral:rRNA from 1 species